UACGUAGGUGGCAAGCGUUACUCGGAAUCACUAGGCGUAAAGCGCAGGUAGGUGGCUAGAUAAGUUUCUUGUGAAAGCUCCCGGCUUAACUGGGAGAGGCCAAGGAAUACUGUUUGGCUUGAGUAUGGUAGGGGUAACUGGAAUUCCCGGUGUAGCGGUGAAAUGCGUAGAUAUCGGGAGGAAUACCUAUGGCGAAGGCAGGUUACUGGGCCAUUACUGACGCUGAGCUGCGAAAGCUAGGGGAGCAAACAGG
rnacentral:rRNA from 1 species